rnacentral:rRNA from 1 species
GCCCGCCCAAGUAGCGGAGCAUGUGGUUUAAUUCGAAGCAACGCGAAGACCCUUACCUAAGCUUGACAUCCCAAUGACAUCUCCUUAAUCGGAGAGUUCCCUUCGGGGACAUUGGUGACAGGUGGUGCAUGGU